rnacentral:rRNA from 1 species
CAAGCGUUAAUUGGAAUUACUUGGCGUAAAGCGCACCCGGGCGGUUUUUUAAUUCAGAAGUGAAAUCCCCGGGCUUAAACCUGGGAACUGCAUUUGAAAACUGGCAGGCUUGAGUCUCGUAGAGGGGGGUAAAAUUCCAGGUGUAGCGGUGAAAUGCGUAGAGAUCUGGAGGAAUACCGGUGGCGAAGGCGGCCCCCCUGGACGAAGACUGACGCUCAGGUGCGAAAGCGUGGGGGAGCAAACAGGAUUAGAUACCCUGGUAGUCCACGCCGUAAACGAUGUCGACUUGGAGGUUGUUCCCUUGAGGAGUGGCUUCCGGAGCUAACGCGUUAAGUCGACCGCCUGGGGAGUACGGCCGCAAGGUUAAAACUCAAAUGAAUUGACGGGGGCCCGCACAAGCGGUGGAGCAUGUGGUUUAAUUCGAUGCAACGCGAAGAACCUUACCUACUCUUGACAUCCAGAGAACUUUCCAGAGAUGGAUUGGUGCCUUCGGGAACUCUGAGACAGGUGCUGCAUGGCUGUCGUCAGCUCGUGUUGUGAAAUGUUGGGUUAAGUCCCGCAACGAGCGCAACCCUUAUCCUUUGUUGCCAGCGAUUCGGUCGGGAACUCAAAGGAGACUGCCGGUGAUAAACCGGAGGAAGGUGGGGAUGACGUCAAGUCAUCAUGGCCCUUACGAGUAGGGCUACACACGUGCUACAAUGGCGCAUACAAAGAGAAGCGACCUCGCGAGAGCAAGCGGACCUCACAAAGUGCGUCGUAGUCCGGAUCGGAGUCUGCAACUCGACUCCGUGAAGUCGGAAUCGCUAGUAAUCGUGGAUCAGAAUGCCACGGUGAAUACGUUCCCGGGCCUUGUACACACCGCCC